rnacentral:tRNA from 1 species
UCCCUGGUGGCUCAGAUGGUAAAGCGUCUGCCUGCAAUGCAGGGGACCCAGGUUUGAUCCCUGGGUUGGAAA